GCACAAGCGGAGGAACAUGUGGUUUAAUUCGAUGAUACGCGAGGAACCUUACCUGGGCUUAAAUGUAGAGUGCAUGAUGUGGAAACAUGUCUUCCCUUCGGGGCUCUCUGCAAGGUGCUGCAUGGUUGUCGUCAGCUCGUGCCGUGAGGUGUCGGGUUAAGUCCCAUAACGAGCGCAACCCUUAUCGUUAGUUGCCAGCGGGUAAUGCCGGGAACUCUAACGAAACUGCCGGUGUAAACCGAGAGGAAGGUGGGGAUGACGUCAAAUCAGCACGGCCCUUAUGUCCAGGGCUACACACGUGUUACAAUGGCCGGUACAGAGGGCAGCUACCUGGAGACAGGAUGCGAAUCUCGAAAGCCGGUCUCAGUUCGGAUCGGAGUCUGCAACUCGACUCCGUGAAGCUGGAUUCGCUAGUAAUCGCGCAUCAGCCAUGGCGCGGUGAAUACGUUCCCGGGCCUU
rnacentral:rRNA from 1 species